CCACAGUGUCACCCCAGGGCGUUGUCACCCCGUGGUGUCACCUGUCCUGGGUCCCCUGUGCUGCCCCUUUGGUCACCCUGGGGUGUUGUCACCCCAUGGCAUCACCCCCCGGGUACCCCCUGCGCCAUCCAUUCGGUCACAUCGGGGUGGUGUCACCCCAUGGUGUCACCAUGUCCCCUGUGCCACCACCUCUGUCACCCCAGGGUGUUGUCAGCCCAUGGCGUCACCCCUCAGGUACCCCCGUGCCCCCUGCUCCGUCCUCCCAGGGUGUUGUCACCCCACGUGGUCCCCCCGGGGUGUCGUCCUCCCUUGGGGCCACCCCAGGGCCGUCACCCUGCCGGGGCUGCGCUCCUGCCUUGCCGUCACCCGCUGCGGGACUGUGACGCUGUUGCGUGUCCCCUAGGGCGUCACCCCUGGGGUACCCCGUCCCCCUGUGACCCCGCGUCCCCUGGGGGUGUUGCCCCUGGGGAGCCCCAUCCCCUGCGCUGUCCCCCCCCUGCCCCACGUCCCCUGGGGCUGUCACCCCCCGGAGCACCACGUCCCCUGGGUUAUUGUCCCCUGUGGGUGUCACCCCCGGUGCGUCCUGUUCCCUGGGUUAUUGUCCCCUGGGGGUGUCACCCCCUGGCACCCCACGUCCCCUGGGGGUGUCACCCCCUGCCCCACGUUCCCUGCUGGUGUCAUCCCCGGUGCGUCCUGUCCCCUGGGUCAUCGUCCCCUGGGGGUGUCACCCUGUGGCACCCCAUGUCCCCCGGGGUUGUCACCGCCUGGUGUGCAACAUCUCCUGGGUCCCCCCUCCGCCCCCAGGGUGUCACCCCCCCUGCCCCACGUCCCCUGCGGGUGUCACCCCCUGGGGUGUCCUGUCCCCUGGGUCAUCGUCACCCCCCCGGGGUGUCACCCCCUGAUGCCCCACGUCCCCUGGGGCACCGGGUCAUCCCCUGCCCCACGUCCCCUGCAGGUAUCACCCCCUGGGGUGUCCUGUCCCUUGGGUCAUCGUCCCCCCCUGGGGUGUCACCCCCCCCGGCCCCACAUCCCCUGGGGGUGUCACUGCCCAGGGCGCCAUGUCCGCUGGGUCACGUCUUCCCCUGUGGGUGUCACCCCCUGCCCCACGUCCCCUGUGGGUGUCACCCCCUGGCACCCCAAGUCCCNNNNNNNNNNNNNNNNNNNNNNNNNNNNNNNNNNNNNNNNNNNNNN
rnacentral:lncRNA from 1 species